GCUGGCAGGGGUUGCGUCCUGCUGUCACCCGAGUGGGAGCAACGUGCGGAAGGGGUCUCUUGGGCGAUUUGUGCCCCUUUGACGUGCCCAAGCGCCUGUCCCAUGGAGCCACCAGCCAUUCAUGCAAUUUCCCUGACGGGAGGUUGCGUGGGUGAUAGUGCGGGGAGCAAUGAGUGAGGGAGGAAACUCAGCGGCUCACUCUCCCUCUGGAUGCGCGGCCAUGGGAGCACGGGUGCGAGCGUCAAAGGGGGUCAAACACGGCCGCCUGAACGAUUU
rnacentral:SRP_RNA from 1 species